CCUCUUCUGCACUAUUCACAAAAGUAGAAAUUUAAUACGAGGUUCACAUGAUAGUCAGAAGAUACUAGCACUAUGCUAGAGUUCUAAGGGUACCAUACAAACCAAAGUCAUGGCUCCUGUUCCCAAAAGAAGCAGUGUUUUCAAGAUACUAAGAAGCAAUCCAGAAAACAAAGAGUAUCAAGUUUGCCAAAUUGUGUGUCAUAAGAAUAUGUGCAAUAUAAAUUUAAACAAGAAUAGAGAGAAGCUUGUAAGGCUUAGAAUUGUCAGAAAGUUUUGGUAAGCAGGUAAGAGCAGACAUAGCUGUAACUCAAAUUAUGAUUUAGUGGAGGUUGAAAUGAAAUAAAUGACUUUAGGAAAGGUUAGAUAUUUGGUCUAUGAUCUGGGAGGACCUAAGCAUUCUUUGUUAUUGAGCAGAUAGUAGCCCUAUAUAUUUGCGCUGCAUUCAAGCCUACAAAAUACUCAAGAACUACUCAAGAGAAACUCAUUUCAGGACUCAUAUAUCUUCAAUGACAAUUCUUUUGAUCUGAAGCAUAACAGAUGAGCUUAAUUAAAAACUUUUCAGAAAUAUACAUCAGGCUGGUAGAUGAAAUUUACUUGUAAUAGCUUAAGUUGACUUGACCAGGUAAAAUUGAGAUUCCAAUGAGUGAGGUUUGUGGCCCUGGAAAAAAGAAUCUCAAUUUCAUCCUUAAUUAUCAUUAACAGACUUGGAACUCUUUUUACAAUUCUUCAAAAGCAAUAUUAAAUCUAGACCUUUGAUGUUAUUAUGCAUUAUUUUAUGUGUUAAAAUCAGGAACAAAGGAAGUAUUUUCAAAAAACUGUGGAGAAAUUUUUGUAAAUAAUUUGUAAAAUGUUUAGUCUUUCCUAGGCUUCUGGAGUCAAUUUCUUUGGUUUAAUAAAAUUUGUAAACUCUGAGAAGCUGUAUUUAGUUUUCAUCCAUAGUUCAAUAGAAAUUCCUUAUCCAUAGACAAUAGA
rnacentral:lncRNA from 1 species